rnacentral:rRNA from 1 species
CCUACGGGAGGCAGCAGUGGGGAAUUUUGGACAAUGGGCGCAAGCCUGAUCCAGCCAUGCCGCGUGAGUGAAGAAGGCCUUCGGGUUGUAAAGCUCUUUCAGGUGGAAAGAAAACGCAUGGGUCAAUACCCUGUGUGGAUGACGGUACCAUCAGAAGAAGCACCGGCUAACUACGUGCCAGCAGCCGCGGUAAUACGUAGGGUGCGAGCGUUAAUCGGAAUUACUGGGCGUAAAGCGUGCGCAGGCGGUGAUGUAAGACAGAUGUGAAAUCCCCGGGCUCAACCUGGGAACUGCGUUUGUGACUGCAUCACUCGAGUACGGCAGAGGGAGGUGGAAUUCCGCGUGUAGCAGUGAAAUGCGUAGAUAUGCGGAGGAACACCGAUGGCGAAGGCAGCCUCCUGGGCCAGUACUGACGCUCAUGCACGAAAGCGUGGGGAGCAAACAGGAUUAGAUACCCUGGUAGUCCACGCCCUAAACGAUGUCAACUAGUUGUUCGGUGAGGAGACUCAUUGAGUAACGCAGCUAACGCGUGAAGUUGACCGCCUGGGGAGUACGGCCGCAAGGUUAAAACUCAAAUGAAUUGACGG